UGGAUCCCCUGCCCCACUUUGUAUUAUUGUUCUUCUCUUAUACUGUCAAAUUUUCAUGGAUGGGAUCUGAUGAAUGAGUAUCCCGUGUCUGCGGCAACUCGCAUGGCCUGAUCCAGAAGUACGGGUGUGCUGCAGGGAUUGCUUCCGCAGCAACGCCAAGGACAUUGGCUUCAUCAAGGUUUGGGUAAAUUAUUCUUCACAUGCACAACCUGCCAUAAAUGAAUUGACGGUGCGCUCCUCUUGCUCGUUGCUAGGAAAGUGGCUUGGCCACCGCCAAAUUCGUACCCUGAGUUUUUAGGUUACCAGUUGACUGAUCUUAAUGUGAGUGCUAUCUUAGUUAUUAAUGUUC